GUGGGGAAUAUUGCACAAUGGGCGCAAGCCUGAUGCAGCCAUGCCGCGUGUAUGAAGAAGGCCUUCGGGUUGUAAAGUACUUUCAGCGGGGAGGAAGGCGAYGGGGUUAAUAACCCYGUCGAUUGACGUUACCCGCAGAAGAAGCACCGGCUAACUCCGUGCCAGCAGCCGCGGUAAUACGGAGGGUGCAAGCGUUAAUCGGAAUUACUGGGCGUAAAGCGCACGCAGGCGGUCUGUUAAGUCAGAUGUGAAAUCCCCGGGCUUAACCUGGGAACUGCAUUUGAAACUGGCAGGCUUGAGUCUUGUAGAGGGGGGUAGAAUUCCAGGUGUAGCGGUGAAAUGCGUAGAGAUCUGGAGGAAUACCGGUGGCGAAGGCGGCCCCCUGGACAAAGACUGACGCUCAGGUGCGAAAGCGUGGGGAGCAAACAGGAUUAGAUACCCCCGG
rnacentral:rRNA from 1 species